rnacentral:rRNA from 1 species
CGGACGGGUGAGUAAUGUAUGGGGAUCUGCCUGAUGGCGGGGGGUAACUACUGGAAACGGUAGCUAAUACCGCAUAACGUCGCAAGACCAAAGAGGGGGACCUUCGGGCCUCUUGCCAUCGGAUGAACCCAUAUGGGAUUAGCUAGUAGGUAAGGUAACGGCUUACCUAGGCGACGAUCCCUAGCUGGUCUGAGAGGAUGAUCAGCCACACUGGGACUGAGACACGGCCCAG